rnacentral:rRNA from 1 species
GAACAGGAACAAGCCCAGCACUGAAUCCCGCCGUUGUAACGGCGGCGGGAGAUGUGGUGUUCGGGAGGUUCCGCUUUCUUGUCGUCGUCCACUCCUGUCCAAGUUCGUCUUGAACGGGGCCCAUUUCCCAUAGAGGGUGCCAGGCCCGUAGCGACGGAGGACGGCGGCGAGAGGGACUCUCCUCAGAGUCGGGUUGCUUGAGAGUGCAGCCCUAAGUGGGUGGUAAACUCCAUCUAAGGCUAAAUAUUACCGCGAGACCGAUAGCGAACAAGUACCGUAAGGGAAAGUUGA